ensembl:lncRNA
AUGAGUUUGCAUCAGGAAGUUUUUUUUGUUGUUGUUUAUGUUUAUGCCACAGAAAUAAGCCUGCAGGAGGCCUGGUGCCCAUUUUCAACAAAAAGCAAAGCCAUUUCCCAGCUCAUUUGGUCCAGGCUUGUCUUCUUUGGGCCUUUCCCACUUGUGCUGUCAUGCCAAAGACCAUCUUUUAGCUGCUCUUCCAGGAGCCUUCUGUUUGUGGAGAUGUUGCUUAGCUCCUUGUCGCCAGGCGGGGUGGCUGCUGCCUCCUGCCACUGCAUGUUAGAGCCAAUCCCGGCCGGCAGUCAGAUUCUCAAGGAUGGACUGUUCAUUGAAAAUGAACAGGAUCACACUUCUGGACACCAAUCAGCCCAGCCACUCCACUGCAUCUCUGCCAGAGCUCCUCUACAUGCCUGCUGGGGACUCUGGCUGUGAUGAGCACAUGUGAGAAGUGCUGCAGGCCCACACUGCUACCUGCGUUUCUGGACCACUCUGGUCUCCACUAGUACAGAUUGUUACAAGUGCAGCAUGCAGGCUCUUCUUUAUUAACAGAAUAAAUGCACACAUAAUGGUGGCUACUACACUGAAAGAUAGAUUUUUAUUUUGUAGCCAAGAAUUUGCUCUAUCAAACAGUGCUAUUGUGUUUUUUGUAUCUGUUGUAGCUUCCACUGAAAAAAAUAGAAGGCAUUGAUUUUGGAGUGACCCAGACAACUUUGGGACUUCAGCUUUGCCGUGGGAACGAUGCCAGCCAGACCUUGGGAAGUUUGCCCAGAUGUUUCAUUUCUUAUUCUGAUGCUGGGCUGUGAAGGUAGCCAAAAACUGUUUUCUGAAAAGUGUACUGAGAAAGGGGAAAUGGAUCUGCUUAAAGGGGCAGCAGCCCACGAUGGCUCUGCCGCUCUCACGGCCGCCCGCUGCCCUGCGUGCCCCUGGAGGGCCACGGGGUCAGCACUCAAUGCUGCUGCCAGGGGACUUCCUCUGCUUCACAAGAGCAUGGGAUCAUCCAAACCAUAACUGUGCAGGGCAAGAAGCUGAUUCUGGUGGAAUGCAAAUCUGGAAGGGCAAAUGCUGGCUGAGAAAGGGAACCAAAAAUCCACUAAAAAAUCCCAGAAGUCUCGGCAUUUCCCACAACAUCAGAGUGCUGUGUCUGAGUCCCCAGCAUGAAUCUCUAGGCCUUGCUUUCUGCCUUUGCUUCUAACAGAAAAUUUCUGAGAGUUCUCACUUCUACCUCAGUGUGUGACAGCAGGAAAAUUUUGAAGCUGGCAUUUUCUAGGGAAGAAAGCCCUGAGCUGCACUUCUCUCUGCAGUGCACUUGAUUGGAUCGCUGUACUGCUAAAUGUGCUGCUUUCAUUCAGCAACCUGAACCAGCUCGGUUGUGUUCCAGCUGGUAAAGUGCUGCCAAGUUGUACUCUAUCCUCAGAAUUCCCUUUUGCUCAAACUUUGCUUGUUUUGCACCCAGGUCACUCGGGAUGGUGUGAAUCACGUGUAAUCCAUUCACACCAAUCAGCUCCUCCAGCUCCUGUGCCCCACGGCUUGUUCACUGCCUUCAUUCCCUGGGCAGCUGCCAGACAUGCUGUGCUGAGGGCAACGCUUACAGGAAACUCAUGAAAAGGAGUUUUGCAAACAGGUGCUGGAAAGGGCUCAAGAAAAAUUUUGAUUGCAACAUUUGGGCUUGCAGCAGAGAGAAGCUUGAAGAGAUAGGGUAUUUCUAAGCAACCUCAUGCUGAAGACUGCGCAGAAACAAUGAGCUCUGUGGUGGCUGUGUAAAGUCAGCCCCAAAGGGAUGGCACUGGGAUGGGCAGUGCCCACAGAGCUGCACAGAGCCAUCUCUUGGGCAUGGGCAGUAACCACCAUAGAAAUGCUGCUCCCACUGCAUUCCUGGAGCACAGCCUGGAGUUUUGCGGCCCAAAGGAGCAUGACAGCUGCCUGGCAGCCGUGAGGCCUUUUGGCAAGCUAUGCCUUGAAGGCUGCCAGCCUCAAAGCAGGAAGGCAGCUGCUGCAUUUGCCUUUUCCCCCCAUUUCCAAAGGUUGCAAUGCAGCACGAGUUGAGCAUUACUGCGGGGCCCAGCCAAAUGUCACAGCAGCUUGGGAGGACAAACCUCUCUCCAUUACUUCUUUUUGCACUCUUGUGAUGCCCAUCCUUUCUUGCCUCCUUCUCCUUGCUGAAUGACAAAGCAUAGCCCACGCAUCCCUUUUGCUCUCCAGACAGGAUGGUCCUGCAAGGGAUGGGCUAAUAUGGUAUUUUUCUGGGGUGAGAAAUAGACUUUACAAUUCAGACCUAAAACCAAAACCAAGCAAUCCAAGAGACAGAGGCUGAGUGGAGAUGGCUCCAUAGUUGCAGUGCUGGGAAGGACAGGCUCCUCAUGUGUUUAAAUUGUGAAGCCCAUUUCUUACCCCAGAAAAACACCCUUUUAAAAUAUAUAUAUAUAUUUAUUGUAUUUUAUUAUAUUUUAUUAUAUAUGUAUAUUUACAUACAAGUUCCUAGUUCUCAUUUGAAAGAUAAAUUGGUCACUUUCUGCGCUCUGAAAGUAAUCCCUCCUCUGAGACUUCUGUUGUCUCCAAGUUACACUUGGGUAUUAGUGCCAAGCUGCAAAUGAGGUUUGCUCUGCUGGGCCAGCUCUCAAACAGAAAUGAGUGUUUCAGGCCCAAAAUUGUGUCUGUGGUCUCAUAAAAAAGCAGAGCUCUCCUUGUUCACCAGCUUUCUAUUUCAUUGCCAUUAAGGGAAUGAUCUCAUCCUGCCCUUUGCUUGUCCUCUGGUUGUUUUCCUCCCUGAUAAAAUGUUCGGCAGGCUGUCAGAGCAUGGCUCAGAUUUGGAGACACUAUUCUAACACCCGCAAAUCCCCAGUUGAUCACCAGCAGUUCCUUUACUCACUAACAACCACUUUCCAGCCCUGCUGCAUCUCCUUGCAAAACCCAGCUCACAUUUAACCACUGCCCCAGCCAGUGAUUCCCCAGCCUGGCUCUGCUCUGACAGCAGCCAAACCUCUGUUUACCCAUGCCCAGGCUGCAGUCAAACACUCCACCUGUGUCCCAGUUCCUGGGGUCAUUUCCCCAGCCCCUUUGCUUCCAGCAAGUCUGUGAUGUGGAAAUUCACCUUACCCUGUGGGGUAAACCUUCAAUGAAAGUGCUGCUGCUUGCCAAGCAGGGAUUUCCAGCUGGUGGUGAUGCUGGUGUGAGAUUCUCUCUUUGCCAUCCUGCUACAGCGUGGUCCUAACACCAGAGCCAUCAGCUGCACAUCCAAGAAAUGAAUGCAACAAUCAGAAAUUGGGCUGGAAAUGAAGUUCAGGCUGCUUCAUUUGUGAAAAGUGCAGGAAAGCUGCCUGUGUUGUACCUCUGUAAAUGGGGAUAUAAAAUGUUGGCUCAGAGCCAACCAUGGAAUAGGUGGCUGCGUGGAGCUUGCAGGCUCUGUGGGCCUUAUGAGCAGAGCUGUCUGGCCAGGACUGGGUUGGAUUUAGCCCUGAACUCUAAAAGAAACAGAUGUAAGGCCAAAAAGUGUGCACUGAACAACCAAAGGUGUCCCCAGACCUACUGAAAUGAGAUUAUAUCUUAUUUUUAAUGAGAAGGACACUCCCCUAAGAAUUGAAGAGCACUGUGAACAUGCUCCAACAUCCCGAGACCUUCACCAAAGCCAAAAGCAGAGGCAGCAUGUUUGUGAGCACAAAGUAAAUUGCACAAUGUGAGGUACCUGAGUUGAGACUUGUACAGUCAUUAAGCCACAUCCGUGAGUUUGUUUAAAACACAUCAGCCCCUGACUAUGAAGAUUCAUCAGCACAAGAAAAAAUAAAAAUAACAACACAUGGUUCUCUUUCUUACUGUGUUGAACUUUAACUCCUUGCUGUUGUUCAGGCGGUGGCAGUUUCUAGUGCUCUUGGGUAAUGCCAAGAAUCUCAGCAUGGCCCAGGAGGGACUGUCCUUGUCCCUGUGCCUGUCACAUGUUGUGGGCCAAUGUUAACAGUGGGGUGAGUCCCACACAUAACUAAGUGGCCAUCUACUGACUCUCAUGGCUGCUGUUUUGGAACAAGACUUCAUAUUUGUCUCCCUGGAUUCAAAGGGCUGAGUGAGGUCUGGAUCAGCACCGUGCGGCCUUGCCCUGAGAGCAUCUCUCUGUUGAUGAGCAAAACACUGCUUUGCUCCUC